UACGAAGGGAGCUAGCGUUGUUCGGAAUUACUGGGCGUAAAGGGCGCGUAGGCGGCUUUAUAAGUCAGAUGUGAAAGCCCCGGGCUUAACCUGGGAGGUGCAUUUGAAACUGUAAGGCUUGAGAUCGGGAGAGGAAAGUGGAAUUACGAGUGUAGAGGUGAAAUUCGUAGAUAUUCGUAAGAACACCAGUGGCGAAGGCGGCUUUCUGGCCCGAUACUGACGCUAAGGCGCGAAAGCGUGGGGAGCAAACAGG
rnacentral:rRNA from 1 species